UUAAGUUCAGCGGGUAUCCCUACCUGAUCCGAGGUCAACUUUAGAAAAAAGAUUGAUUCGGACUGGCGCCGGUCCGGGCCGUAAAGUGAGUGACAAAGCCCCAUACACUUUGGCUGAUCGGAUAACCGCGACGCCGCCAUUGCCUUCGGGGCGCUCCGUCAGGGAGCGGGCACCCAUCACACAAGCCGGGCUUGAGGGUU
rnacentral:misc_RNA from 1 species